GACGAACGCUGGCGGCGUGCUUAACACAUGCAAGUCGAGCGGAAAGGCCUUUCGGGGUACUCGAGCGGCGAACGGGUGAGUAACACGUGAGUAAUCUGCCCUUGGCUUUGGGAUAACUACCGGAAACGGUGGCUAAUACCGGAUACGACCAAUCACUGCAUGGUGUGUUGGUGGAAAGUUUUUUCGGCCAGGGAUGUGCUCGCGGCCUAUCAGCUUGUUGGUGGGGUAAUGGCCUACCAAGGCUUCGACGGGUAGCCGGCCUGAGAGGGUGACCGGCCACACUGGGACUGAGACACGGCCCAGACUCCUACGGGAGGCAGCAGUGGGGAAUAUUGGACAAUGGGCGGAAGCCUGAUCCAGCAACGCCGCGUGAGGGAUGACGGCCUUCGGGUUGUAAACCUCUUUCAGUACCGACGAAGCGCCGAUGAUGGUGGUGACGGUAGGUACAGAAGAAGCACCGGCCAACUACGUGCCAGCCGCCGCCGUAAUAC
rnacentral:rRNA from 1 species